rnacentral:rRNA from 1 species
AUGGGAAGAACAUGUGUGUUUGUUCAUCAUGGGGACAAAGACGCCUUUUUGAAAGGCAAUAAAGAACCGGACCCGGAUGAGCUUGACAUUGUGUUUGAUAGUAGUCCUAGCUAUGCGGAGCUCUUGCAACAAGUUAGGAAAGAUUUGAAUUGGACGGACCCUAGUGAUAUAAUUGAGUUGGAGGGAAGGCAUAAUGUUGGUUUUGGAAUGCACAUCCGUUGGAAGACAAUGCGUGUAAACUCGGAGCAACGUUGGGUUGCAUACAAGGAGACGGUGGCCGAAUCACUAGACAAGGCUCUUGAGUUAUUUGCAACGAAGAAGGUUGAGUCAAGUUUGCAUUUGGACUUGAACCGGAACCCCUCCCCUUUGGUUGCUAGUAGCCCCCCACCCUUGAAGCAAGAUGAAAUUGUUGAACCUCUUUUGACCCAAGAAGUGAGGCCAACAUUGAGCCCGUGUAGAAACAACCAAGAUGAAUCUUUGCAAGAGGACAACGAUGAGUAUGCGGACGAUGACAAUGAAGUUGAUCUCCAUGACAACAAUGUGGGUGAUCUCGACAAAUAUCAUUUGCAAGAGACAAUGGACCAUUCCAUCCCUUUUUCCCGUGCAUAUGCAUCGGACUCGGAUGACGAUGGUCCCGAUGAACAAGUUGAUGCGGAGGGGUUCACAGUGAAGGAGGCCGAAGCUUUCGAGAAGGUAUUUGGUCGGGAUCAUCGGACUACAUUGUUCAAGGAUGUUAGUCUCGCGGAUGAAGCCGUGGUAGAUGGUGGCCAAUGUGUAUCUCUUGGGGUUAGGCCAAGCUCUCACCGUGAUUUGGUAGACGACCAGAACCGGAUUGCUAAAGGUUCUAAGUUCGACAGCUUGUUGGAUUUGAAGAUGUGGCUCGACAACUACUCGGUUACGCAUUAUCGUCCACACAAGGUGGUGCACUCGGACGUCAAUGUGCGCUACACGGUUGCAUGUGCAUGUGAAGAUGAAAAGGAGGUCCAACUUGGACUUAAAAGAGGCCGUGGUGGUGGUAGAGGUCGUGGAAAGGAGGUCCAACAAGGAGUGGCAAGACGCCAUGGCGGUUGUCCAUGGAUUGUGCGUGCAAGACCAUGGAAAGGAGGUCCUACUUGGCAUGUAGUGAGUUGUGUGCCAACUCACAUGUGCCAAGGCAAAAGGGUGGAUGGCAAGAUUGUGUCCCAAGACCACAAACAACUCACGUCCGAGUUCAUCGCUUACAGGCUCUCGAACUCAAUAUCCACACUUCCAACAAUGAGCGUCCAACAUGUCAUUGACCUUGUGAAAGCCAUCUUUCAUUACCAGGUGAAAUACGGCAAGGCAUGGAAGGCGAAGCAAGCCGCAUUUAAGAUGUUGUAUGGUACAUGGGAGGAAGCAUACAACCGAAUCCCUAGGUUGUUGUUAGCCAUGGCCGCGACAAACCCGGGCAUGGUUCAUGUGGUCGAGCCUCAUGGGCACCAAACAACGGUUCAUGAAGGAAGGAAAGUUAGAGUAUUUGGCCGUGCUUUUUGGGCGUUCGAGCAAUGUGUGAGGGCUUUCGAACAUUGUAGGCCGGUCAUCGCAAUUGAUGGCACGUUCUUGACCGGACAAUACAAGGGCAACUUGUUGGUUGCGAUAGCAAGUGAUGCCAAUAACCGGGUGUUGCCAUUGGCAUUUGCUUUGGUUGAGGUGGAAAACAAUGACAACUGGGAGUGGUUUCUGCAUCUUUUGAGGACGAAGGUGUUACCCGCUCAAAGGGAAAUUUGUGUCAUAUCGGAUCGGAAUCAAGGAAUUCUUAACGCCGUGGAGAUUGACAUUCCCGGGCAUGCUCCGUUGCACCAUCGAUGGUGCAUGAGGCACUUUUGUUCGAACUUCUAUAGGGCAUGUGGCCUUAAGGAGUUGGCCGAUGAUCUUCAAGAUUGUUGUCUCGCUUUCUCCGAUAAGCGCUUCGCCACUUUGUACAACAAAUUGCUCGCACACAAAAAACUUGAUCCCGGGGGUCAAGACUUUCUCAAUAGGCACAUUCAAUACCGGAACAAGUGGGCACGUGCUUUUGAUGAAGAUGGCCGGAGAUACGGUCAAAUGACAAGCAAUAUGGCCGAAUGCUUCAAUAGGGUGCUCAAAGGUGCACGUGGAUUACCCGUGACGGCAAUAGUUCAAUACACAUUUGACAAGAUGAAUGCGUACUUUGUAAAGUACUCGAUGGAAACCGAUGCACAGAUAGCGGGUGAGAACCCACGGAAGUACAAGUACAAGUUCCCACCCAAAGUUGAUGAAUGGUUGCUAUUUCAAUCAUGGAAGGCGGACUCAGAAGAAGCUAUAUUAUAUGACAAUGAGGAGUGGAAGUACGAAGUGAAAGAGCCAGGAGGAACCACAAACGAUGGCCGGCAACAUGGAGGUCGGGCUUUCAAGGUGUCGUUAACACAAUGUGAUUGCACUUGCGGGAGGCCAUUGUUGCUUCAUCUCCCAUGCUCACAUUUGUAUGCCGCCGGCCGCGUUAGGAAUGUGGACAUCAAUCACCCACGCACCGUGAGGGAGUCCCAGUUCUCAAUCAUGACGGUAUCAAAGUGUUAG